CGACUCAGUCUUUAUUUUUAUUUUAUUUUUAUUUUUUUAAAAGAUUUUAUUUAUUUAUUUUAUUUAACAGAGAGAGAGAGAGAGAGGCAGAGACACAGGCAGAGGGAGAAGCAGGCUCCAUGCAGGGAGCCCGACGUGGGACUCGAUCCUUGGUCUCCAAGAUCACACCCCUGGCUGCAGGCGGCUCUAAACUGCUGCGCCACAGGGGCUGCCCUCGACUCUGUCUUUAAAGGGUAAACAGCCAGGUCAGAGGAUUUUGGAGUUUAAAAGUCUAGCCCCAGAUGGGACUCAGUCCACAUCUUUUUAUUUUACAGAUAAGAAAAAAUGAAAUUAGAGCCGGGAAGUGACUUGCCCAAGGCCAGAGGGCCAGAAGAGCUUCCUCUGUCUUCCGGAAACAUUCCAUCUCUUGGAGUUAGCUUUCCUCACCUAGAAAAUGCAGACACAAAGCCCUCUGGACAAGAGCCCAUGAAUAUUGUGAGAGGGCUUUGCAAACUGAAACGAGGGACUCAGGAGCUAAAGGUCCUGAGCUUCUGGAGCUGUCUCCCUUUGUUUGGAAAAUUUACCAGGAUGGGCCUUUAUACAAACACAGGCAAGUCCCCGCCUAUUGUCCUUGGGGAGGAGGGUGGGGUCACCCCAAUCUCUACACAGAACACUAGUGUAGUUCUCUUUCAUGAAGUGAGUCCGUGUCUUCUUAACAGACCUUCACCCUUGAGGAGUGAGAGAGAGAGACCGCCCUGGAGAGAGACUCCAAUGGGAUAGUAGAUGCCUCCUGGGGAGCUACUGAAGAUCAAAUAAUGGAGGCUAGGAAGCAUAACCUCGCCUAUCCUGAUGGAUACACUCAUCUAAUCCCCAUUUGACAAAAGAAGAAACCAAGUCCUGCACCUAGCUCCCUGCAGGGAGCCUGCUUCUCCCUCUGCCUGUGUCUCUGCCUCUCUGUGUCUCUC
rnacentral:lncRNA from 1 species